AAUACAGUCAGUUAAUGUGCAGUCAGUAACAGUCAUAAAAACCAACGCUACCAUUUACUUACCACAGUUGUUAUUCCACCUCUCCGGGUGUAAACAGCUUCUGGUCAAAUCAUAGUUCCGAUCGAAGGUUCACUGACUGCCAAGAAACAGCAGGCUUCAAGUCCUGAGACAACAAAGGCCACAUACAGACAGUGAGCAAUUUCGGUGUCAGUUAUGAACGCGAAUAUUUUGCUUGGUAUAGUAUUCAUAGUCGCCUGUUAUGGUGCAGUUUCGAGUUUGUCGUCUGGCCAA